AGAGUUUGAUCCUGGCUCAGGAUGAACGCUAGCGGCAGGCCUAAUACAUGCAAGUCGAACGGUGAUAUUUAUAUCAUAGUGGCGCACGGGUGCGUAACACGUAUGCAACCUACCUAUUAUUGGGGGAUAGCCUUUGGAAACGGAGAUUAAUACCGCAUAAUACGAUUAACUGGCAUCGGUUGAUUGUUAAAGCAUUUGCGAUAAUAGAUGGGCAUGCGUCCAAUUAGUUAGUUGGUGUGGUAAUGGCUCACCAAGACGAUGAUUGGUAGGGGAUCUGAGAGGAUAAUCCCCCACACUGGCACUGAGAUACGGGCCAGACUCCUACGGGAGGCAGCAGUAGGGAACAUUGGGCAAUGGGCGGAAGCCUGACCCAGCCAUGCCGCGUGCAGGAAGACGGCGUUAUGCGUUGUAAACUGCUUUUUUAUAGGAAGAAGGAUCCCUUGCGAGGGAAGGUGACGGUACUAUAAGAAUAAGCACCGGCUAACUCCGUGCCAGCAGCCGCGGUAAUACGGAGGGUGCAAGCGUUGUCCGGAUUUAUUGGGUUUAAAGGGUGCGUAGGCGGUUUAUUAAGUCAGUGGUGAAAGACGGUCGCUCAACGAUUGCAGUG
rnacentral:rRNA from 1 species